GACGAACGCUGGCGGCGUGCUUAACACAUGCAAGUCGAACGGAAAGGCCCUGCUUUUGUGGGGUGCUCGAUUGGCGAAGGGGUGAGUAACACGUGAGUAACCUGCCCUUGACUUUGGGAUAACUUCAGGAAACUGGGGCUAAUACCGGAUAGGAGCUCCUGCUGCAUGGUGGGGGUUGGAAAGUUUCGGCGGUUGGGGAUGGACUCGCGGCUUAUCAGCUUGUUGGUGGGGUAGUGGCUUACCAAGGCUUUGACGGGUAGCCGGCCUGAGAGGGUGACCGGCCACAUGGGGACUGAGAUACGGCCCAGACUCCUACGGGAGGCAGCAGUGGGGAAUAUGGCACAAUGGGCGGAAGCCUGAUGCAGCAACGCCGCGUGCGGGAUGACGGGCUUCGGGUUGUAAACCGAUUUCGCCUGUGACGAAGCGUGAGUGACGGUAAUGGGUAAAGAAGCAACGGCUAACUACGUG
rnacentral:rRNA from 1 species